rnacentral:rRNA from 1 species
GAUGAACGCUAGCUACAGGCUUAACACAUGCAAGUCGAGGGGUAACAGGAGAGAAGCUUGCUUUUCUUGCUGACGACCGGCGCACGGGUGAGUAACGCGUAUCCAACCUUCCCCUUACUAGAGGAUAGCCCGGCGAAAGUCGGAUUAAUACUCUAUGUUCUCCUUAGCAGGCAUCUAACGAGGAGCAAAGAUUCAUCGGUAAGGGAUGGGGAUGCGUCUGAUUAGCUUGCCGGCGGGGUAACGGCCCACCGGGGCAACGAUCAGUAGGGGUUCUGAGAGGAAGGUCCCCCACAUUGGUACUGAGACACGGACCAAACUCC